GUAGCUUAAAAUAACAGCGAAGGACGACGCAACGACACGCAGCGCCAGGGCGAUAUAGACAGGGGUGACGUUGGGCGUCGUUCCGUCGUAGGCGGUCGCUCGUACCCCUAUUGGCCCGCACCCAGGGACGCCAUUGUUCUCGUCCUUUCGCGCCUCUCGACUAACCCGCGAGAGACGCACGCCGACGCCCGGCGUCGCGACGCCACUCUCGCACGCAACGCCGUCGUCGCGCGGCCCUCGUUCGACUGUCGCUCUUCUUCCGUUUCUUAUUCUUUUCUUUCCAUCUCUCUUUUUCUUUUCUUCUCUUCCUUUCUAUUCGUCCAUCCGUCCGUCCGUCCGUUCGUUCGCCAUCCAUCUAUCCAUCCAUCCAUCCAUCCAUCCAUCUAUCCACCCUUAAAUCGUGCAUAAGUCAACACGUAUACAAAUUAAGUUGAAAAAGGUGAUAACGAAUGCGCGCGCGCGCGCGCGAGUGGACUCUUUAACGAGAAAAUGUUACGUAUAGUGAGACCAUUCCAUUGUUUACAUUUAGACUGAAUAUUCACACGAAAGAGCGGGGACCUCGUGGCAGGACAUCGAAGCUUACCAUCAAGGGCAAACGAUCUCACUACCAACACUAAAUACUAUAGAGUCGCUCGAGCGUGCAAUAAACCAUUCAUCCGUGUCUAAUCGAUUCCGAAACACGUAAAUCCAUGGUCUGGGACCGUCGUCGACUAUAUCCUAUGCAUUUUUCAAAUAUUCGAACGUAGGUCUAUAGCUGACUCUUUCGUCACGGCUCUCAUGUAUCCUUCGGCUUAUCCACCAUGUACAAUUGGAUUUAUCAAGUUAGAGCUGAAACGUAGCGAACCCGAUGUAUUUCCUGUUCGACUCUGGCGUACAACACGAACGAGUGUCGGAUGAGCCUACCAAAUACGACGAAACGACGUAUAGUACCAAUGUAACGAUGAAUCUCGUCGAACGAAUCAUCUCAAAUUGAAUGGCCUGUACAUAUUUAUUUUUUCUUUUCGAUUUCUAUUGUCAUUGGAUAUCUUAAUUGAUUAUUCUAAACCUUUUUUAUUCUAUACUUAAUACUUACAUCAUUUUAAUCUGUAUAAAAUGGAUUGAGAUAAAAUGGUAAAACAUAUCCACACGAUACAUUUGGAAAUGUAUAUUUAAA